GUGGGGAAUAUUGCGCAAUGGCCGAAAGGCUGACGCAGCGACGCCGCGUGCGGGAUGAAGGCCCUCGGGUCGUAAACCGCUGUCAGGAGGGACGAAACUCUGACGGUACCUCCAGAGGAAGCACCGGCUAACUCCGUGCCAGCAGCCGCGGUAAUACGGAGGGUGCGAGCGUUGUCCGGAAUCACUGGGCGUAAAGGGCGCGUAGGCGGCGCAGUAAGUAGGGGGUGAAAUCUCACGGCUCAACCGUGAAACUGCCUCCUAAACUGCUGUGCUUGAGCACGGUAGAGGCAGAUGGAAUUCCCGGUGUAGCGGUGGAAUGCGUAGAUAUCGGGAAGAACACCAGUGGCGAAGGCGGUCUGCUGGGCCGUUGCUGACGCUGAGGCGCGACAGCGUGGGGAGCAAACAGG
rnacentral:rRNA from 1 species